CGAGGAUGGGUGUUUAUGCAAAC
rnacentral:siRNA from 1 species